GACGAACGCUGGCGGCGUGCUUAACACAUGCAAGUCGAACGGAAAGGCCCUGCUUUUGUGGGGUGCUCGAGUGGCGAACGGGUGAGUAACACGUGAGUAACCUGCCCUUGACUUUGGGAUAACUUCAGGAAACUGGGGCUAAUACCGGAUAUGAGCUCCUGCUGCAUGGUGGGGGUUGGAAAGUUUCGGCGGUUGGGGAUGGACUCGCGGCUUAUCAGCUUGUUGGUGGGGUAGUGGCUUACCAAGGCUUUGACGGGUAGCCGGCCUGAGAGGGUGACCGGACACAUUGGGACUGAGAUACGGCCCAGACUCCUACGGGAGGCAGCAGUGGGGAAUAUUGCACAAUGGGCGGAAGCCUGAUGCAGCAACGCCGCGUGCGGGAUGACGGCCUUCGGGUUGUAAACCGCUUUCGCCUGUGACGAAGCGUGAGUGACGGUAAUGGGUAAAGAAGCACCGGCUAACUACGUG
rnacentral:rRNA from 1 species